AGCGAACGUUUGCGGCGGGCUUAACACAUGCAAGUCGAACGGGCUGUUCCUUCGGGGGCAGUCAGUGGCGCACGGGUGCGUAACACGUAGGUAAUCAACCCUCUGGUUGGGGAUAACACUUCGAAAGGAGUGCUAAUACCCGGUGUGGCGCAGCGGUCUUCGGAUCGCGGCGAGAAAGACCCGCAAGGGUUGCCAGAGGACGAGCCUGCGGCCCAUCAGCUAGUUGGUGAGGUAAGAGCUCACCAAGGCGAAGACGGGUAGCUGGUCUGAGAGGAUGAUCAGCCACACUGGAACUGAGACACGGUCCAGACUCCUACGGGAGGCAGCAGUGGGGAAUAUUGCGCAAUGGGCGAAAGCCUGACGCAGCCACGCCGCGUGAGCGAUGAAGGCC
rnacentral:rRNA from 1 species